rnacentral:rRNA from 1 species
AACGGAAAGGCCCUGCUUUUGUGGGGUGCUCGAGUGGCGAACGGGUGAGUAACACGUGAGUAACCUGCCCUUGACUUUGGGAUAACUUCAGGAAACUGGGGCUAAUACCGGAUAGGAGCUCCUGCUGCAUGGUGGGGGUUGGAAAGUUUCGGCGGUUGGGGAUGGACUCGCGGCUUAUCAGCUUGUUGGUGGGGUAGUGGCUUACCAAGGCUUUGACGGGUAGCCGGCCUGAGAGGGUGACCGGCCACAUUGGGACUGAGAUACGGCCCAGACUCCUACGGGAGGCAGCAGUGGGGAAUAUUGCACAAUGGGCGGAAGCCUGAUGCAGCAACGCCGCGUGCGGGAUGACGGCCUUCGGGUUGUAAACCGCUUUCGCCUGUGACGAAGCGUGAGUGACGGUAAUGGGUAAAGAAGCACCGGCUAACUACGUGCCAGCAGCCGCGGUGAUACGUAGGGUGCGAGCGUUGUUCGGAUUUAUUGGGCGUAAAGGGCUCGUAGGUGGUUGAUCGCGUCGGAAGUGUAAUCUUGGGGCUUAACCCUGAGCGUGCUUUCGAUACGGGUUGACUUGAGGAAGGUAGGGGAGAAUGGAAUUCCUGGUGGAGCGGUGGAAUGCGCAGAUAUCAGGAGGAACACCAGUGGCGAAGGCGGUUCUCUGGGCCUUUCCUGACGCUGAGGAGCGAAAGCGUGGGGAGCGAACAGGCUUAGAUACCCUGGU